rnacentral:rRNA from 1 species
GACGAACGCUGGCGGCGUGCUUAACACGUGCAAGUCGAACGGAAAGGCCCUGCUUUUGUGGGGUGCUCGAGUGGCGAACGGGUGAGUAACACGUGAGUAACCUGCCCUUGAUUUUGGGAUAACUUCAGGAAACUGGGGCUAAUACCGGAUAGGAGCCCCCGCUGCAUGGUGGGGGUUGGAAAGUUUCGGCGGUUGGGGAUGGACUCGCGGCUUAUCAGCUUGUUGGUGGGGUAGUGGCUUACCAAGGCUUUGACGGGUAGCCGGCCUGAGAGGGUGACCGGCCACAUUGGGACUGAGAGACGGCCCAGACGCCUACGGGAGGCAGCAGUGGGGAAUAUUGCACAAUGGGCGGAAGCCUGAUGCAGCAACGCCGCGUGCGGGAUGACGGCCUUCGGGUUGUAAACCGCUUUCGCCUGUGACGAAGCGUGAGUGACGGUAAUGGGUAAAGAAGCACCGGCUAACUACGUG